UACGUAGGGGGCAAGCGUUAUCCGGAUUUACUGGGUGUAAAGGGAGCGUAGACGGUGAGACAAGUCUGAAGUGAAAGCCCGGGGCUCAACCCCGGGACUGCUUUGGAAACUGCCUGACUGGAGUGCUGGAGAGGCAAGCGGAAUUCCUAGUGUAGCGGUGAAAUGCAUAGAUAUCACGCAGAACUCCGAUUGCGAAGGCAGCGUACCGGCAUCCAACUGACGCUGAGGCACGAAAGCGUGGGGAUCAAACAGG
rnacentral:rRNA from 1 species